rnacentral:rRNA from 1 species
AGAGUUUGAUCCUGGCUCAGGAUGAACGCUAGCGGCAGGCUUAAUACAUGCAAGUCGAGGGGCAACAGGGGUAGCAAUACCUGCUGGCGACCGGCAAACGGGUGCGCAACACGUACAGAACCUUCCUUUAAGCGGGGGAUAGCCCAUAGAAAUGUGGAUUAAUACCCCAUGGUAUUAUUGUUUGGCAUCAAAUAAUAAUUAAAGAUUUAUCACUUAGAGAUGGCUGUGCGUCUGAUUAGGUAGUUGGUUGGGGGUAAUGGCCCACCAAGCCUUCGAUCAGUAACUGGUGUGAGAGCACGACCAGUCACACGGGCACUGAGACACGGGCCCGACUCCUACGGGAGGCAGCAGUAAGGAAUAUUGGUCAAUGGAGGCAACUCUGAACCAGCCAUGCCGCGUGAAGGAUGAAGGUCCUCUGGAUUGUAAACUUCUUUUAUGUGGGAAGAAAUGCAUUCUUUAUAGAGUGUUUGACGGUACCAUAGGAAUAAGCACCGGCUAACUCCGUGCCAGCAGCCGCGGUAAUACGGAGGGUGCGAGCGUUAUCCGGAUUCACUGGGUUUAAAGGGUGCGUAGGUGGGGAAGUAAGUCAGUGGUGAAAUCUCCGUGCUUAACAUGGAAACUGCCAUUGAUACUAUUUUUCUUGAAUUUUCCGGAGGUUAGCGGAAUAUGUCAUGUAGCGGUGAAAUGCUUAGAUACGACAUAGAACACCAAUUGCGAAGNNAGCUAACUACAGGGAUAUUGACACUGAGGCACGAAAGCGUGGGGAUCAAACAGGAUUAGAUACCCUAGUAGUCC